rnacentral:rRNA from 1 species
UACAGAGGGUGCGAGCGUUAAUCGGAAUUACUGGGCGUAAAGCGCGCGUAGGCGGCUUUGCAAGUCGGGUGUGAAAUCCCCAGGCUUAACCUGGGAACUGCAUUCGAGACUGCAUUGCUAGAGUAUGGGAGAGGGAAGUGGAAUUUCCGGUGUAGCGGUGAAAUGCGUAGAUAUCGGAAGGAACGCCGGUGGCGAAAGCGGCGGACUGGAUCUUUUCUGACGCUGAGGCGCGAAAGCUAGGGGAGCAAACGGG